rnacentral:rRNA from 1 species
AUUGAACGCUGGCGGCAGGCCUAACACAUGCAAGUCGAACGAGUGGCGGACGGGUGAGUAAUGUAUGGGAAACUGCCUGAUGGAGGGGGCUAACUACUGGACACGGUAGCUAAUACCGCAUACACUCGGAUGUGCCCAGCUGGGAUUAGCUAGUGGGUGGGGUAAAGGCUCACCUAGGGGACGAUCCCUAGCUGGUCUGAGAGGAUGACCAGCCACACUGGAACUGAGAAACGGUCCAGAGUCCUACGAGAGGCAGCAGUGGGGAAUAUUGCACAAUGGGCUCAAGCCUGAUGCAGCCAUGCCGCGUGUAUGAAGAAGGCCUUCGGGUUGUAAAGUACUUUCAGCGGGGAGGCGUUACCCGCAGAAGAAGCACCGGCUAACUCCGUGCCAGCAGCCGCGGUAAUUC